CUGAAACAGUUUAGAUGUUUACUUGCUUACACUGGUUUUUGGUUUCAGUUUCCUACCGCUGAAUAACUGCAGGAGUAAAGUUAGUGGUAAAAUAGGAGGCUGUCUAGGGACGUGAUUUCGGGGAAGAAGUCAGGCCUCGACGAGCCACCUUAAGAAAAGUGACUAGGCGGAGCACUCCCAGCUAAGAGCGGAAAGAUGAGAGAUAGAGGUGUGACUGAAGGCAGGGAUCCCCAGGCGCACGUGAGACCUCCGUAGAGGGGCGGGGCUUAGGGCUUUGCAGACCGGAGGCUUGUUCCGCGGAGGGUGGGGCGGUCUCUGCUUGCGCAUGCGCAAUGCCAGCCAGUGCCUGCGCGGCUUGCUCCAGCAAGGUAAAAUUUCCCACUGCGAGGCAGGCAGUGAUGCUGCGGCCGCUUCGCACUGUGGCUCCUGCCGACCGCCAGGCGCUGUUACAGUGGAUGCGAACUAACCGUAAGUGUAAGUGACCAGAGCUAGAGGCAGGUGGUGGGGGCAAGGAUAUGCUGCAGGCGCUGACUUUGAGGACUUAAGCGGGGUGAAGCCAACAGCCUUCCUUGGGAUCGUUGUGCUGGUCUCUGCUGUCUUGGGGGGUAGAUUGACCAGGGCUUUGAGUGCUCUAACGGAAAAGAGAGUUAGUUGCUCGCCACACGUAGACACCAAUUAACAAGAGCGAGCCCUAGUAUACAAGAAGAGGGAUUUUAUUUCUGAAGCCAGCCCGCUUCGUCUUUGGAGCAAAAAAGCGGGCAUUUUAUAAGGUACAAGAGGAAAUGAGCAAGAGGUCUCUGCUAGCUGGUGCCUUAUCUACCGGGUAGUUGAGUUGGUGCAUUUCUGAGCAGAAAUAAGUUGUAAAAGUGGCCAAGUGGGCAUGCUUUCUGCUUACCCUUCUGAGGCGACCGCCUGGCGGUGGGAGUUGCGUCUUGGAUCUCGUAGAUGAAUUUGCUCUGUAGAGAAUGGUCUGGUGAGGGGAGUUGAGAGGUUAUUUUGCAGUUCAAAAAGGGCUAAGUGGAAAGUGUAGUGGGGAGGGGAAAAGAGGGGAAAAAAUAAACUAUCUCUUGGAAAAUGGGGGUAAUCGGAUACAGUACCACUUGGAAUUAAUUGGGUGUGGGAAACCUGGUUCUGAGUGGUUUGUGAGUUUUCAGCAGACUUCGGACAAGCCUUUAGAGCUCCUUGUGCCUAACCCUUUUUCUGAAAGAAAAUAGAGGGUUAGCCCUCCUCCCCAUUACUCCCACAAACUUGUUAGAAUUGGUACGUUGCCACCUGAAAAAGCAUUUUGCAGGAGAGGUUUUAGGCUGUAGCGUUAGUAGGAAGUGUUAAACGAAAAACCUUAGCCAAGUUAAAUUUAACAUUUUGAGCAAAGAAUGAUUCACGAAUCGGGCAGGCUCAGAGAGAUUGCAGCGCAGCCAAGUGUUGAAGAUUUAUAGACAGAAAAAGGCUGCAGUGAGCUUUGAUCCCGCUGCUUCACUCCAGCCUGAGCGACGCAAGACCCUGUCUCUUUAAACACACACGUUAAAACUGAGGAAAUGUGGUAGCUAGAUCUAGUUACUGAAAAAUGGGAUAGAUGUAUUCUGGCAAAGUAAAGCCUGAUGAAAGCUCAAGAAAAUAGGAUAUUCUUAUGUUUGUUAACUAUAGCAAACUAUCCUAUGCCUGUAUGCGAGAGUGUGUGUGUGUGUGUGUGUGUGUGUGUGUGUGUGUGUGUGUAUGUGUGUGUAUUUAUUUUUUGAGACAGAGUUUCACUCUUGUUGCCCAGGCGGGGCUGCAGUGGCGCCAUCCAGCUCACUGCAACCUCCACCUCCCUGAUUCGAGCGAUUUUGAGUGGCUGGGAUUACAGGCGUCCGCCACCACGCCCGGCUCAUUUUUGUAUUUGUAGUAGAGACGGAGUUUCACCAUGUUUCCCAGGCUGGUCCCAAACUGCUGACCUCAGGUGAUCUUCCUGCCUGGGCCUCCCAGAGUGCUGGGAUUGCAGGCGUGAGCCACCACGCCUGGCCACUAUGCCUGUAUUUUGCUGAAUGGUGAUUUCCAUGGUUAUUUUUAUCCAAGCUCAUGACUUGAAAUGUCAUUGUUAGCUGAUGACUUACAAUUUUAGAUUUUUAACCUCGACCUCUUAAAAUUCUUUGUGAUGUUAGAGUCAGUAGGUUUAGAUAUUAUAAUUAACAUUAUUACACAUUUUAGGAGUCAUUUUAGAUAAGAUGUCAAACUGAAGAUAACAGGAACAUCUGCUAGUGAGAUUUGACCUGGAAAGUAUAGAAAACCAGAUACACAGCUUUGUUUAUUUAUUUAUUUAUUGAGACGGAUUCUCAGUCUGUCGCCAGGCUGGAGUGCAGUAGCACGAUCUUAGCUCAUUGCAACCUCUGCCUUCUGGAUUCAAGUGAUUCUCCUGCCCCUGGAGUAGCUGGGAUUACAGGCACGAACCACCGCGUCCAGCUAAUUUUGGUAUUUUUAGUAGAGACGGGGUUUUACUAUGUUGGCUAGGCUGGUCUUGAACUCCUGACCUCGUGAUCUGCCCUCCUCGUCCUCCCAAAGUGCUGGAUUACUGGCAUGAGCCACCGCACCCAGCCGGAUACAGCUUUAUUUCUAUAUACACAAAAUCAAGAUAAUAAUUUCCAUAAUAUGCUGAGUCUCCUGUCACUUCAUCUAAACCCUAUGUUGCA
rnacentral:lncRNA from 1 species